UCUCUUUUAUCAACAUACUAGGGUCGGCCCACCCGUAAAUUAACAAAUAGUUUAAAACAAUUAGGACAUAUAGCAUGCUUGAGUGGUUCUCUAAUGGCUAUGUUCUCGCAUUUAAUCUUGUCGCUAUAUGCUUUUAGUUCAUCAUUAUCUACUCUCUCAUGUAGCCCUACAGAAACAGUAUCAACAAAUCUUAUUCAGACAACAUUUCAAACACACAAGAGAGAGAGAGAGAGAGAGAGAGAGAGAGAGAGAGAGAGAGAGAGAGAGAGAGAGAGAGAGAGAGAGAGAGAGAGAGAGAGCCUUAUGUUGAGUCCUUCUGUUCUCGAACCAGAACUUGAUUUGUCUUGGAGCAAAACUCAAUUAUCUACUAAGUUGGUUCCUCUGCUUAUCAUCUGGAUGAGGACACUCCUUGAAACUCCUGGAAAAGAUUCAAUCCAUUAUAAGUUGGUUCCUCUGCUUAUCAUCUGGCGAGAUGCAAUGUGAGGCCAAUUCUCAAAGGUACAACUCCAAGUCAUGGGCUUUAAAGCUCUUUUACAGUCUUACCGACAAUACAUCCUCAAAAGCUCACAGGUUUGAUCCCUAAUAAAAAUCAGAGAUUUGUUAGAUCUUUCUGGUGACUGCAAAUCUUGUGGCUGAAUGCCUACCUGAGACAGAUCUCUCCGGUAAACUUCUGGCGUCGAUUGUAAACCUGAAACAUGUUCAGACAAUAGCUGACUGGAACUGAUUUUCAAACCUGAUUUGUUUUCCAGGCUGAAUCAUGGGCAAACGUAUUUGCAGUUACAUGUAAAAACGCUAUAGCCAAUCACUAUAUUCCAUAAUGCAAAUCAGUUUAUCAUGAAGAUCCAGAAUACAAAGAAAAAGCUCGUACUUUUGGGAGUGGUCUUUCAUGUCUAUUGGAAUUGAGAAAUCUUUUGUGUAUGGCGACAAAACUGUAAGUGAAGGUCGAGAUCCACCGCCUAGAAAAGAUAUAAGAAUCAUUGAAUCAGUGAUUGUGGCUAGAAAGAGUUAAGAACUUGUUAAUGGCCUUGCAUUAAUGCAACUUGUAAAGCCUCAGAGGAGAAGAAUCACAAACGAAAUGCCAUGAACCGAGAUAGGCGCAAAGAUUACUCAAGAAAAUUCAUCUCACACGACCUUUCAGAAACUCCAUUCUUGAUACGCCUAAUCAGGAACGGAAUUAUUAAAAUUACAACUAUACAUUUCUAUAUAUUAUCAAUUUUGGGUAACAGUGAUAUUUUGUUGGAGUGGUGCUUUUUAUAUCUCCAUCAUGUUUUUCAGCAUGUUUUUGAAUUAUUUUUUGUUAAACUUGAAAUGCUGAUAAAUAAAUAUAUAAUAUAAUUGACUUCACUGUUAGUUUCGAAGAACCUGAAAGCUGAAAGUGAAUACAAAGGACACAUAUUUUGUUGUUGUCGAUGAUCCUGAAUCUACAUUGUACAAUGCAGCAUGAAGAUGUGAAUAAUAUGUGCAGAAGCAGAGGUGUACUUAGGCUCUAACUUCUUGAAUGUGGUCAAAUCUACUUCGAUGGUAGCAGCAUCCUCAGACCAUCAUCAUUUGGCUGUAGCUCCUGAAGUUAAUUAAAAGCAGUAAACAACUGAAGUAGUAGUUUUGCUAGAAUAUGAUGUGUGUUUUUCCUACUAACCAUUUUGUGAGUAAUUUGUUAUAUUUU